AAAAUCUAUUCCACGGAAUCCCGUGGAGACGGGAUAGUAAUCCGGAUCGAUCCCCUCCUCCUACCUCACUCUUCUCCCCUAAAUCAUUGGAGCCAACAGCCACCGUCGUCCCCGUCCCCGUCGCUGUCGCCCCACCGCUCGUCGGAGCCGGUGGCCGCCGUCGUCCCAGUCGCCGUCGCCCCACCGCUCGUCGGAGCCGGCGGCCACCGCUGCGGGGGAGGCGGCGACGACGAGGAGAAUGGCGACAGGUGCGGUGAACAAGAGGGAGAGCGGGAGCGGGGGCGCGGAGGCCGCUGCCGGCGCCGGGGAAGCCGCCGCUGGCUCAGGACCCCGGCCGCCGAGGAGGACGACGACGGCGCGGCCUCGGCAAGGGUCACCCUCAAGCUCGCCUCCCUUGCCGCGCCGCUCUGGCUCCCCGCCCUUGUCGGUCUUCUCAUCGGCUGCCCCGCCUCGCCGACCACCGGAUUCGCCACUGCCUCCUCCACGCUUCGCCUCGCCGAUCACCGGAUUCGCGCACCGCCUCCUUCUCCUGCUCCACCACGCGGCUGCCUCCUCCUCUCUCCCCUCCUGCUCCAGGCUACUGGUACCAGGUAUCACGGGUAUCAGGUACCAGGUAUCACGGGUACCAGGUACCAGGCUACUAGGUACCAGGUAUCACGGGUAUCAAAUACCAGAUAUCACGGGUACCAGGUACCAGGCACCAGGGAGGCGGUGGGAGCAGCGGGCAAGGACGACGGCGACCUUGGCGAGGAGCGCGAGGGAGGAGGGGAGAGGCCCCGGCGCCGGCAGCAACGAGAGCGCCAGUGGAAGAAGCAGCGCCACAUCGCGUGGAGGCGGCACCGCAGCGGGCGGAGGACGACGUCGUGGAGGUGCGGCGAGAUCACCCUCGACGCCGCCCCGACCUCGCCGACGCCGUGCCGUCGUCGUCCACGGCCGCCGGAGACGACGACGACCCCUUCCUCCUGGCCAGCUUCAUCUCCGCCUCUCGUUUUCUUCUCCUGUGAGAGAGAGAGAGUUUGUGGAGGGGAAAGGAAGGAGAUAAGGUAGUGGAGAUCUU
rnacentral:lncRNA from 1 species